rnacentral:lncRNA from 1 species
GUCCUGUCUUUUCAAAAGGAAAAGCAUUUGUGUUGUGUAUGGGAAUUGCUAAGUCAUGGCCUGAAACAAUGAUUGAGCACCUGGUGAAAGGACAGCCAGCUCUGGGAGCACAGGUGGAAGCAAUACCUCUUCCUAAGCCUGAUUUAAGAGCCAGCUGCCACACAGAAGGAUUUCUGUCUAGAGAGCCUUGCUUUUGGAGUCUUGAUUCUUGGGAUGGGCUUCCAAGUUCUUAA